UUUGUGAUUUGUUAUGUGAAAAGAAAUUUGUGAUGCGAAAAGAAAAUAAAAACUCAUUCUUGCUUUCUUCUUCAAGAAACGAAUGAAACAAAAACGAAAACAUUGUCGAUCGAAUUCGACACAUCCAUUCUUUCUUCUUCAAGAAUCGAACGAAACAGAAACCUCUGUGCGUGGAUGUUCGGUGGUUCGCUUAAUCAACUUUAUUAUUCGCAACAUCAACGAACAACAUUCAAUUUCCUGCUUGAAAAAAGGUGGCCAUAGCAAAUGCCAUCGUUUUCUGUGGUGAUCGAGUUGAAAGGACCGGUAAUCCUGUAAUUGAGAAGCUAUCAGAUUUAUAGAAACUAUCUGAAAUUGUUGUGUCCAAAUUCGGUUCUCCCAUCAAUGCUUGGGUUAUUGAAGCUUCUGUUUUCAAUGGACCUUUCGCUGUCUACAUGUGAAUCAAUAUGGAGAGCCAGGAUCGUACAAUCCAAUUGGAUUCCCAGCAUCUUUAUCAACGGUCUCACUUCUAUCUAAUUGCAUUGAAGAAGUAUGAACUGUUUCUUCCCUUUCUUAUUAUAUGGAGACAUAGGCACUGUUCUGCUUGCAACCUUUGUUUAUUCCUCUGUCUGCUAUUAAUCAUUUUGUCUAACAUAAGUCACAGCUCAAACAUAUCUCAGUCCUACAUGCCGUGUGUGCAGGGUGCAUAGAACUUAAAUCCUAAUCUUGACCCUUAUUAACAUAAUCUGACCUUAGUAAAAGUAUGUGGCCUAAUUAUUUUGAUAGGCAAAUGUUAGUUAUCAGCAGUAAAUUAGUGGAGUCUAAACUGUUUCUUAUAAUAUCUAUCUGGUAUAUAUGGCAUUAUGGCCAUGAGGUUGUAUCUGUUGGUAUUUUUUACCGCAGAUCUAUUGUGAAAUCUGAUAAAAUUUGGUGGGUGUUGGUAUAAGAAUAAGAUAGCACAAUAUUUGUGUUGAUAAUUAUAAAUGUAAGUCUUGGGUUUAGUAACUAAAAAAGAUAGAAACUUACCUAUUUUUAUCAUUCUUGGUGGCUCAAAAAUGUGAAAUGUGUCAACACAGACAGCAUGAAAUCUGCUUUCCCUUAAUGACCCUUGUCCCUCAAUGGAAAAUGAAUUAUGAAUUCUUUAUUCAUAAUGGAAAACUUGGAUGGAGGCUUUCAAAGCAAAGCAAUUUUAUUCAAAACGUGGAUGGUGUCUAUUGUCUUUUUAUGACACUAAUUGUGAAACUGUCACUAGUGGUAUGAUAUACAAGAGAUCACUAACUCCAAAUUCGAUGGAUAUACUUUGUUCCUUGAUUUUUGUAAGGGAUUGUCUUUGUGGCUCAAAAAUGCUGGUAUGAUAUAUAUUGUGCUUUAAUGACCCUAGUCCCUAAAUGCAAUUUUGCAAUUACAAUAUGAACUGAUUUUGCAAAUGCAAAACGCAUUGCGUCCUUGUGUUUGAUUAGCCUACUGAUAGGGGUUUCAAAGGAUUUCUCUAAGGAAGACACGAAUCAACUGAAGCAAAGUACAAAGAAACCAACUCUUUGGAGUCUAAACUGUUUCUUAUAAUAUUUAUCUAUCUGGUAUAUAUGGCGUUAUGGCCAUGAGGUUGUUUCUCUCUAGAAUCGAAUUUGGGUUCUCUCGAAUUAUUCCUCCUAGGGGGAGCUCAUUAACCACUUGAGUCCAAUCACUUGGUUUAGUGAUUGCUACUUGUCUGUCAUGACUCAUAAUUACUUUUCAUUGCAUGAUCUCUAUCUUAUUAUCAGCUUUUGCUUCUGUCAUUUACUUCCUUUUAGUUGAUUUGAAUUGGUUUCAGACUUUAGUGUUGUCAAACAGCGGCUAUAGUAGCAGUACAAUGAUGUGUUUAGUAUUUUUAACUAUUGCUAUGUCUGAUUAUCCAUUGCUCUUUAGUAUUACUAAUAUAUAAUGAAACUAUGGGGCAUCCUAUUGUCAUGAUAAACUGCACCACAUAAUUGAUAACUUUUGCUUUUGUUUUGGCGCAACUCGUGUAGUUUGCAUAAUAUUGGUUUCAGCUUGAAGGCAAUUGAAAAAGCCAUAGUUAACUCUGAUGUUGGUAUGACUCCAAAUAAUGAUGGAGAAGUGAUACUGUUGAAUAUCACUCAGUUGACAUCUGACUGAUGGAAGGUAAUUUCAACUUCCAUGGAGAAGUGCUUUUAACGAUUUAUUGAAGAUAUCGAACAACUGAUCCUUGGAGCUCACAAAAGAAAUCUUGAUGAUGUCUGAGAGGAUCUUUUUCUCUAAUGAAAUUAAAGUCAACUUCUAUGCAUUUAGUCCUUAUUUUGAAAGAAGAUACAACACUAAAUGUUUAUUACACACAAGCUCUAUAGGUGUGAAAUAUGAGGAACCAAUUCUGUCAACUAGGAUAUAACAAUGUUUUAAGUGUACCAAUCUAACUUACUAUUAACAUUGAAAGUUUUCUCUGCCACCCUUGUAUCAAUGAGAUUUGGUAGUGACUGUAAAGUAGUAUGUGCACGUCACGUGCCUUAGAACAAUGGACUGAAAACUUGUGCAUGCGAUGUGAAUAAUCCAUCUCAAGGUGCAAAUAUACAAUAAACAAUGCUAUGCAUUUUGCUCUCCAUUUUUAACUUUUUGGUGUUGCAGACACGUGGUAAUUUUAUCGUCUUUAUAACUUAGAUAUUGUAGCAACUAGCAAGCAGCUAAAUUUUUGGCUAUCUAUCUGUUCAAUAUUAGUGUGAAUUUUUCCUGUUAGGACAAUUUUCUGUUUUAUAUCAUUAUUGAUGGAUGAUGGAUUUAUAUUGGUAGCUUAUUAUUCAAAAGUAAAAGUAAUAAUUGAUUUUUUCUCAUUGUAAUUGUGCUGUUUUGUAGAAACCGACAAAUGAUUACAUAAAGAAGGUUGAUGCUAUCUACAAACAGAAAGAAAAGGAGUUGCUGACUGUUUGAUCCUUUGGUACAAAAAAGCAAUCUUACUUGGGUUCUAUCUAAAGAAGUUCAAAUUGUGUUUACUUUGCGUAGUUUUUGUUGUUGAUAUAAGCUAAGUUUGAUUAUUGAUGUAUUUUUUUGUUUGUUAUAUGGAAGUCAACUUUUUUUGUUAAAUAUAUGCUUUUUGAAAUUGAAAAGGUGAGCGUUUUUUCAUAUUGAAAAGGUGAGAGUUCAUGCAUACAAAUUUGGAUUUCUUCACAAUUGCAUAAUUGGAAUUAGACUCCUAGACUAGUAAGAGUAGUACUCAAUUUGGAACAUAUUGGUUCACUGGAACGACUAUUGCUGGGUCAUUUAUAUGAGGUCGAUGGUCAUUUAUAAUUACAGUCCCCCCCGGUAAAGGAAAGGUUGAUGGUUCAGGUGUUGGUGUUGGUGUUGAUGUGACUUCAUGCACGAACUAGAGCAACUUUCUAUCCCAAAUUUGAAAAUGAGGUAUAUGAUUCCUGUCUCAGUUUUCUAUGUUUUGAUUUCAUGAGUGGAGGUUAUAUUGUUGAAUUUUGUCAUGUAUCAAUUUUCCUAGUUUAUAUAUUUUUUUCUUCAUAAUAAUGGUUUGAAUUUCAGCCUUAUGGGAUAUUAUAUAUUAGAUAAUCAAAAGAAACUGAUAUGCUCUGUGCUGAGACCCUAAAUUUGACCAUUGGAAUCAAUGAAUAUACUAUGUUUUAUAAAUUUUGUAACAGAUGGAUCAUAGAUGCCUCAAUGACUAUAGAGUAAAAUGCUGGACGAACAUAAUGCAUGAAUGGAUAUCUAUAGUGCUUUGGUGACCCUUAGCUCUAAAUUCAAUUUUGCAGUGAUUUGAAUUAUGAUCUUAAUGACCCUAUUACCUAAUGUUUCAUAAGUUUUGUAAGGAAUAGAUGCCUCAAUGAAACAAUGGCGUCAGAGUAAAAUGCAUUAUGACCCAAAUCGUGAAUCUAUCACUGAGAUGAAUUUUUUUUCAUUAUUGAUAAUGUGUUGUGUGGUAAACAUGAGCCCACUAACUUAAAAUUCAACAAUAAGAUGAAUAUACUUUGUUCUGUGAUUUUUGUAAGGGAUUUUCUUGAUGGUCCAAACAUGCAAGAUGAUGCUUUAAUGUGAAAGCUAGUUGAUGAGAAGGAAUUCUCAGAGUGGACUGUUUGGAUGGUCCAAGCCCAAAUACCUCCUCCUUCUCGACUAUAUAAGUCUCACAUCAUCACCUUUGAAGGUAUGUCUCAUUCUAAACCUCUCUUAUCGUAGUGAAAUUCUCACUGGAUUCCCUCAUGUGUUAAUCUCUGCCCUCAAUUGUUUUUUAUUGGUUGACCAACUUGUAGAAAAAAAAAAGUGAAUGGUCAGGAUUUCAUGGGAGAGAAAAUUAAUGGGAGAGGAUUCAUUCCCCUUUAAUGCAUAUAGACUCCCCCCUAAAAGUUGGUUUCGGGAGAGGAGAGAACAGGCUUGCUUCCUCUUGAUUGCUUAACGCUUGCUCAAAGGUCUUUGGCUUUGGUGGUAUGGCUGGUGUGAGGGUUGCCAUGCAAGGCCAAUCACAAAUCAUACUCUGGUCUAGCAUUAAAAUUCCAAAAACGCAUUAAAAUUCCAAAAGUUAUAUGUCUUCCCUUCCUCCCACCUCAUUUCUCACAGUCCCCAUGAAUUCCAAAAACGCCCCUAAUAGUACUUAUCGGAAGAUAUCUUCCAUUCGCUAAGACUGGGUUUGCCUACAAAUUGAUACCUGGCCGAAAGACAUUACCAAAAACACAGGUCUCCGCAAAGUCGUAAGACCAUGUAUGGGGGCUGACGCCUGCCCAGUGCCGGAAGGUUAAGGAAGUUGGUGACCUGAUGAUGACAGGGAAGCUGGCGACUGAAGCCCCGGUGAACGGCGGCCGUAACUAUAACGGUCCUAAGGUAGCGAAAUUCCUUGUCGGGUAAGUUCCGACCCGCACGAAAGGCGCAACGAUCUGGGCACUGUCUCGGAGAGAGACUCGGUGAAA